UUUGUCCAGCAGGUCUACACUGUCUACACUUAAGUCACUUUAGCAGCCACCUCAGUUGUCAGAUUGACUAUGGCCGUAUCACAGUGCUUAUGUUCAAGUCACCUUUAUUUAACUUAAUAAUGGCCCCAAAGUGCAAGAGUUGCCAGAUGCCAGUAAUUCGGACCUGCCAAAGAGAAGUCUUUAAGUUGCUUCCUUUAAGUGAAAAGGUCAAAGUUCUCGAUGUAAGAAAAAAAAUUGUAUGUUGAGAUUGCUACAGUAAGAUCUAAGAGUAAAUCUUCUACCCAUGAAAUCACAAAAAAGGAAAAAUAAAUUCUCGUUCACUUUGCUGUCACACCUCAAACUGCAAAGCUUGUGGUCACAGAGCAUCGUAAGUGCUUAGUUAAGAUGGAAAAGGCAUUCAAUCUGUGGGUGAAAGACGUAAACAGAAACAUGGUUCAACCGAUGACUAUGGGGUUCAGUACUAUCCACGGUUUCAGGCAUCCACUGGGGGCCUUGGAACACAACCCCCACAGAUAAGGGGAGAAUACCGUAGCAAUAAUACCGUAGGGAAUAGAAUUUAAAAAGUGGAUCAGUUCUUAAGAGUUUAAAGAGAAAAUUUUUUGUCGUCAUUCAUUUGCAUAGCGAAUACACUGGAGCACUGGAUCGUAUUCCUACAGCUUCUUGGCCUGCUCUCACUAAUUGAUUCAAUGGCAAGUGUCUUAGUUUCUUUGUGCUGCUAUAACAAAAUACAUGAGACUGGAUAUCUUAUAAAAAAACAGGGGUGCGGAAGGUCAGGUCCAGGACUCUUUCUCCUUGCUGUUCAAGAAAUGUCUUCGCUUUCAGAAUAUGCCUUGGGCAUGUCUCGUCUGAGUGCCCGGCUAUUUGGUGAAGUUGGCAGGCCCACUGAUUCCAAGCCCAUGAAAGUGGUGAAACUGUUUAGUGAACAGCCUUUGGCCAAGAGGAAGGAGACUUACGACCAGUAUCCAAAUCACAACACUUAUUUUGCACUCAUGGGAACGCUCAGAUUUCUUGGCCUCUAUAGAGAUGAGCAUCAGGAUUUUAGGGAUGAGCAAAGUCAUCUAAAGAAGCUUCGUGGAAAGGGGAAACCAAGGAAAGGAGAAGGGAAAAGAGCAGCAAAAAAGAAAUAAUAUUGACUCAUUGAGAAAGAAAAUUUCUCCCUCAGUGACAGGGAAAAGAAAUUGUAUUUAUCAUCUUUCCACAUGUUGGAGGAAUGCAGUCUUCCUAAGUGAAGGUUAUUUGGAAGAACAUAUCAUGUCCGAGUUGACGUCUCACUCAGUUAAAUUGUGACUGAUUUCUUGAACACAUUUGAAUGCAAAAUUAUUUUGGCCUUGGCUUUGUAAUCUGAGGUUUACCUAAUUCUCUAAUGAAAUGCAUACAUUAAAAAAAAAUUUAUUUCUCAUAGUUCUGAAGGCUGGGAAGUCCAAGAUCAAGAUGCCAAAGAGUUGGCACCUGAUGAGGGUUCAAACCUUAGCUUCCACCUUGAAAGCUGCAUGUUCUAGAAGGG